GUGGGGAUAGCAGUUCUUGGAAGGGUUUGCUCUCUUUUAAGAAAUGAAGACAGAGUCUGUAUUGUUCCUCGGGAAGUUGUUGUCUCUGGAUGUAAAGCCUCGAAUUUCAGCAGUAAUCUUUCCCUGGUCUGAGGUUGAGGCCAGAACCAGGACAAUAGAUUUUUCAUUAGGAGAUUCACCAACUUCUACUUCUGGACCUUCUUUUUUCUGAUACAUUUUCUUAUUCUCUUAUAGGCAACUUGUGUCAAGUUCUGAUUCUUGCAGCCAAAACCAUCGUUUCUGAGAUAGGGAGGUUUCCUUGAAAAUGAUGAAAGAAAGAACACCUGUGGGAAACUGAGGUUGCAGGGCAAAACUCCACCCUGAAAUCUGGAGAGACAGGCAAAUCAAGAGAGACCCAGCAGAGAUCUGUUUACCUGGAGCAGAAAUUGCUGGAACCAUGAACUGGUCAGCCCUGUAUCAAGACACAAUCUACAGCCCUACCUGGCGUUCCUGUGUUUAUUGUUAAUGACUCAUCACUCCUCACACUAUUUCUUUGGUUUCUACUGUUAUUCACUAGCUGGGUCCCUAGUUGAGGCCUAAACGGGCCUAAAUGACUUAUUCCAUGUGUCUUCUU
rnacentral:lncRNA from 1 species